AAUAGAGUUGACCCGCCCACAGAAGACACUAGGAUUAUAGGCAUGUACCACCACACCCAGUUGUGGGUCGCCCUGUGGGCUGAGCGCAGGACUUGGCGUAUGCUGGACAAGCCCUCUCCCAAACUGGCUGAAGUCUCUAGGUUUAUUACCACUGAUUGAACAUUUACUUAUGCUCCACAAGACUCAGUAAACCAAGCUGCUGUUGUGUGCGAAGAGAAAGUACCACUUGAUCAAGCUGUCUAUAAAUACAGUGUGUUAUGACUCCAAGCAGGGAAGGAGAAGCCCGUGGAAGCCAAUCUGCAAUUUGGUGAACUCUCUUGGAAACGCAGUUCUUUCAGGCAGCUGAAAGAUUGAUCUAAUUACCCAAACAACAAAGACUCUCUGGUUCCUGAAGGAAACUCAUCGGGUUAAAGGUGGUCAUUGGCCUCUCUGGUCUUUUGGAAACAAAAUUAUUUGGAA
ensembl:processed_transcript Gm16556 predicted gene 16556